UCUGAGCAAUCCGUUCCAGUGCCUCACCACUGUCUCACCAUUUGUUCCCUGUGCCUAAUCUAAACCACCUUAUUUUGCUGGGGCCCCAAGAGCAGAAUGCAGUACUCCAGGAGAUUUUCCACUACCAAGCAGAAAAAGAGGAACAAGGGAGCAAGAAAGAAGGAGAACAAGGAAAAACAAGAGCUACUUCCAACAUUCUCUAUCCAAACACAUGACCUUCCUAAAACAGCCCUAAAGAACAUCCCCUCUCUUCUUGAGAUUUCUACUCCAGGAUAUUUGAGAAGUGUGCUAUUCCUGUGGUUAGACAGAAGAUACCAGUCCCAGGAGGAGGCCAUCCAACAGCUCUUGGACCACAGAGUAAGUUCAAAAAGCAGAAUGGAGAAGAUAGCUAACAGGAAAGAAAUAACCUCAUCAUCUGACACAGCUGCACAUAGUUUCUAAAUAUAAAUAUAAAUGUUAA